UACAGAGGUCCCAAGCGUUGUUCGGAUUCACUGGGUGUAAAGCGCGCGUAGGCGGUAGGCCAAGUCUGCUGUGAAAUCGCCCGGCUCAACUGGGCGCGGUCGGUGGAAACUGGUCAACUGGAGGACGGUAGAGGCGAGUGGAAUUCCCGGUGUAGUGGUGAAAUGCGUAGAGAUCGGGAGGAACACCAGUGGCGAAGGCGGCUCGCUGGGCCGGACCUGACGCUGAGGCGCGAAGGCGUGGGGAGCGAACGGG
rnacentral:rRNA from 1 species